rnacentral:ribozyme from 1 species
GCUCUCGGCCAUCAUGGGGCCCUCCGGCUGCGGCAAGUCCACCCUCCUCGACGUGCUCGCCGACCGGAAGAAAGGGGGCGAGAUCGCCGGCGA